rnacentral:tRNA from 1 species
GAGGGUUUAGCUCAGUGGUAGAGUGCAUGCCUAGCAUGCAUGAGGUCCUGAGUUCAAUUCCCAGUACCUCUA